GACGAACGCUGGCGGCGUGCUUAACACAUGCAAGUCGAACGAUGAACCCGGAGCUUGCUCCGGUGGAUUAGUGGCGAACGGGUGAGUAACACGUGAGUAACCUGCCCUUGACUCUGGGAUAACUGCGGGAAACUGUAGCUAAUACCGGAUACGACCCUCGGCGGCAUCGCCAGGGGGUGGAAAGAAUUUCGGGCAAGGAUGGAAUCGCGGCCUAUCAGCUAGUUGGGGAGGUAACGGCUCACCAAGGCGACAACGGGUAGCCGGCCUGAGAGGGUGACCGGCCACACUGGGACUGAGACACGGCCCAGACUCCUAGGGGAGGCAGCAGUGGGGAAUAUUGCACAAUGGGCGCAAGCCUGAUGCAGCAACGCCGCGUGAGGGAUGACGGCCUUCGGGUUGUAAACCUCUUUUAGUAGGGAAGAAGCGAAAGUGACGGUACCUGCAGAAAAAGCACCGGCUAACUACGUGCCAGCCGCCGCCGUAA
rnacentral:rRNA from 1 species